GUCGUCAGCUCGUGUCGUGAGAUGAUGGGUUAAGUCCCGCAAAGAGCGCAACCCACGUUUUUAGUUGCCAGCAUUCAGUUGGGCACUCUAGAAAGACCGCCGGUGAUAAACCGGAGGAAGGUGUGGAUGACGUCAAGUCAUCAUGCCCCUUACGUCCUGGGCUACACACGUACUACAAUGCUACGGACAAAGGGCAGCAAACUCGCGAGAGCUAGCAAAUCCCAUAAACCGUGGCUCAGUUCAGAUCGUAGGCUGCAACUCGCCUACGUGAAGGAGGAAUCGCUAGUAAUCGCAGGUCAGCAUGUCGCGGUGAAUACGUUCCCGGGUCUUGUACACACCGCCCGUCACACCAUGGGAGUGGGGUUCACCAGAAGCCGUUAGUCUAACCGCAAGGAGGGCGACGACCACGGUGAGCUUCAUGACUGGGGUGAAGUCGUAACAAGGUAACCA
rnacentral:rRNA from 1 species